rnacentral:rRNA from 1 species
GAUGAACGCUAGCGGCAGGCUUAAUACAUGCAAGUCGAGGGGCAGCAUGAGUGUAGCAAUACAUUUGAUGGCGACCGGCAAACGGGUGCGGAACACGUACACAACCUUCCUAUAAGUGGGGAAUAGCCCAGAGAAAUUUGGAUUAAUACCCCGUAACAUAAUGAUGUGGCAUCACAUUAUUAUUAUAGCUACGGCGCUUAUUGAUUGGUGUUCGGCUGAUUAGAUAGUUGGCGGGGUAACGGCCCACCAAGUCUACGAUCCGUAGCCGAUGUGUAGAAGCCGCUGAGCCACACGGGUACUGAGACACGGGCCCGACUCAUAGGGGAGGCAGCAGUAAGGAAAAGUGGUGAAAGGACGCAAGACUGAACCGGACAUGCCGCGUGAAGGAUUAAGGUCCUCUGGAUUGUAAACUUCUUUUAUCGGGGACGAAAAAAGGCGAUUCUGCGUCACUUGACGGUACCAGAUGAAUAAGCACCGGCUAACUCCGUGCCAGCAGCCGCCGUAAUAC